AUAUCCUUGGCUACCUGCUCCCUCAUCAUACAUAACAAUCCUCGAAGAUAAUCAUCCAACUCCAGAAGUCUUUCGAAGUAUUCAUACCUUUUGUAGCUCUCCCCUCGAGGUACCUUCGAGCACUUGUCAACAAGCUCGAUACCUUUCUGCAAUUGUUCCCUCAGAUUUUCCAGUUCCUCCUUUGAUAGAUGCAGUAUGUUGUUAAGCUGUGAUAUCUCUUGUAUGAGUGGUUGGAAGGAACUAGCCGUGGAUUUGAGAUCAACCAAGACCGGUUUGAAGCUCCUUUUGCCAUUCAAUUCUACAUCAACUUCCCAAACCAAGAGUUCAAGCAAACGGCAAAACACUUGCUCCAGAUCCUGACCAGCCCCUCCUCCUCCAUUUCUCACCUGACCAUUGCCUUCGUUCUGCUCCUCCAGCUUCACUUUUAGUAAACCACAUAACCUUCUUUCCAGGUCAUUUUGUCUGUCGCGAAUGUUCCUUGCAACAAGCAAGAGCUCAUUCGUAUGUCUCUCUUCCUGCAGCUUUAGAAUGUACAACACUCUUCUAAGAGACCUGAACAAUUCGGCAAGUUGGUCGGAGUAGCUUCGCUUCAUGCAGUGAUAGUUCCACAUGCCAAGACUCGAUAGCUGGCCAACUAGCUUCACUCCCUCCUCCAUUUGCCGCUCGAGAUUUCGGGUCUCCUCAUUUGGCAGGAGAUACAUUUCCGGAUCAUGUUGAGCGAUUCGUGGUUGUAGAGAAGACCAGCGUCAGUCUGAGAUCUUCAAGGAGCGACGUAAA